rnacentral:rRNA from 1 species
GACAGAGGGUGCAAACGUUGCUCGGAAUUACUGGGCGUAAAGGGCGUGUAGGCGGGAAGGCAAGUCGGGCGUGAAAGCCCCAGGCUCAACUGGGCGAGGUCCGUGGAACUGGUCAGCUGGAGGACGGUAGAGGCGAGUGGAAUUCCCGGUGUAGUGGUGAAAUGCGUAGAGAUCUGGAGGAACACCGGUGGCGAAGGCGGCAUCCUGGACCGGUAUUGACGCUGAGGCGGCGAAAGCGUGGGGAGCCAAACAGG